CUUAGAGUUUGAUCCUGGCUCAGAUUGAACGCUGGCGGCAGGCCUAACACAUGCAAGUCGAACGGUAACAGGAUGUGCUUGCACAUCGAUGACGAGUGGCGGACGGGUGAGUAAUGCUUGGGAACUUGCCUUUGCGAGGGGGAUAACAGUUGGAAACGACUGCUAAUACCGCAUAAUGUCUUCGGACCAAACGGGGCUUCGGCUCCGGCGCAAAGAGAGGCCCAAGUGAGAUUAGCUAGUUGGUAAGGUAACGGCUUACCAAGGCGACGAUCUCUAGCUGUUCUGAGAGGAAGAUCAGCCACACUGGGACUGAGACACGGCCCAGACUCCUACGGGAGGCAGCAGUGGGGAAUAUUGCACAAUGGGGGAAACCCUGAUGCAGCCAUGCCGCGUGUGUGAAGAAGGCCUUCGGGUUGUAAAGCACUUUCAGUUGUGAGGAAAAGUUAGUAGUUAAUACCUGCUAGCCGUGACGU
rnacentral:rRNA from 1 species